rnacentral:rRNA from 1 species
UGGGGAAUCUUCCGCAAUGGACGAAAGUCUGACGGAGCAACGCCGCGUGAGUGAAGAAGGUUUUCGGAUCGUAAAACUCUGUCUUUUGGGGCGAACGUGAGUAUGGUGAACAAUCAUAGUCAGUGACGGUACCAAAGGAGGAAGCCACGGCUAACUACGUGCCAGCAGCCGCGGUAAUACGUAGGUGGCAAGCGUUGUCCGGAAUUAUUGGGCGUAAAGAGCGCGUAGGCGGGAUAGUCAGUCUGUUGUAAAGUGCGGGGCUCAACCCCGUGAUCGCAAUGGAAACAGCUAUUCUUGAGUGCAGGAGAGGAAAGUGGAAUUCCCAGUGUAGCGGUGAAAUGCGUAGAUAUUGGGAGGAACACCAGUGGCGAAGGCGACUUUCUGGACUGUGUCUGACGCUGAGGCGCGAAAGCCAGGGGAGCGAACGGGAUUAGAUACCCCGGUAGUCCUGGCCGUAAACGAUGGGUACUAGGUGUGGGAGGUAUCGACCCCUUCCGUGCCGGAGUUAACGCAAUAAGUACCCCGCCUGGGGAGUACGGUCGCAAGACUGAAACUCAAAUGAAUUGACGGGGUCAUAGCUGUUUCCU